rnacentral:misc_RNA from 1 species
UGUACCCGACUAUACUGCGGCCGAUUUCAGUCGCAUUUUGCGCCAACAUCGCUGCUGAAAGCUCGCCUGAACGCUGAAAACUUAGCGCUGAAAUAAUUCAAUUUACGCUUUAUUAUUUAAUUGAUUCUUUCAACUGAAGUGAGUGUGAAGAAUUGAACAUGGCUGCCGAAGCAGGUCCCGCUCAGACCGGGCUGGCGCCCCCAGAGGGCGAGACGGGGCCCGAUGGUGAGAUCAUCGGAGGGCCCCGCACGCCGCAGCAGAUUGCAGCCCAGAGGCGGUUGCAGCAGACGCAGGCGCAAGUUGAUGAGGUGGUGGACAUCAUGAAAACAAACAUGGACAAGGUGCUGGACCGAGAUGUGAAACUAUCAGAACUUGACGACAGAGCAGACGCCCUGCAGUAUGGAGCGUCACAGUUUGAGCAGCAAGCCAAAAGUUUGAAGAACAAGUUCUGGUUACAAAAUCUUAAGAUGAUGAUAAUAAUGGGAGUGAUCGGGAUCGUUAUAAUAGGCCUACUAUUUGGUGAUAACAUUAAACAAAUGUUUGGUUAGUUCGGUACCGAGGAACGUCGACUGUGACGGCCCCACCACCGAUCGCACCCGGCAAUAACACUGUGACAACAAAUACUAACCAUUGAAAAUAUAUGUAAUUAAUUCACUCGUCGCAUCCGUUGGGUUCCACUUCAAAUGUGAAGCUAACUUAUUAUAAUAUAAUAUUUUAUUAUUUAUCUAUUGUGGACGUAUUAAUAAAAUUGUAACAACUAGGCUCUAACUUUAAAGGAACGAAAUAUUACACAAUAUACUCGGCUGUUUUUUGAAUAAUUCAAUUAUUCAAAAUUUUAAACUUUAACUAGAUUAUAAUAUUCGAAAAUAAUUAUGUCAACAAAAUAAUUAUGUGGUUAAAAAUCUUUAAAAUGAUGCUUAAAUUAUAAAAUGUAACGUUAGCCUUAAGUGAAGACAUAAGUUCUAAUCUAUCCGUAUACAAGGUUUAGAUUAAAAAAGGUUUAGUAAAAAAGAUUUUGCUCUUUUCAUAUUGGAAACACGACAUUCACUAAAUUUAAAACAACUAAAUAUGGCUGUUUGAAAAUUUAUUUGCGUGCCUUGUAGAUACUAUUUAGAGUCCUGUUUCUACGUACGUAAUAUCUAUUUGCUCAUUUUAACGUACUAUGAAUAUCUAUGUAUUUAUAAUGAAUAACUACUGUCGGCCAAAAGCUUGUAAAAGCGUUCAGGUUCUUCCAAAUGUAGUGGAAUCUUUCUGAUACUGUAAAAUAGUUCUAUAUUGACACAAUAUUAAUCUAUAUUCCUAACACUAAUAUCUUGUGUUUUCUCAUUGUAUAACACCAAAUACAACAGCGAUGGUAGAAAUAUGGAAUUGAACUGUAAGAAAAAUAAUUAUAAUAUUUAAAAUUAUUUUCGCUUAUUUUAUAGUUUAACAGAUCUUAUGAAUAGAAUUAUUGUAAAAUUAAUUAUAAUUAUUUCGAAAGUCCAUUAGUAUUCAUAGCGUCUUAGAAGUCAAUUAUUUGCAAUUUACAGAAAAAUAUUCUUAUAUUUUAGCGGCUUAAAGUGAGUCAAUUAAAUACAGAAGUGGAUUUAAUAAUUUAAUUAUUGCUAUUUAAUAUAGAAAUUAUUUUUAGGACAGCGAUUAUUAUUGAAAUUAUUUACGUCAAUGUAUUUUAGGCUGAAACAAAUGAAACUGUAAAUGCUUACAGUUUUGGAGUGCCGUCAUUUAAUUUUGCAAUUAUAUGCCUAAUUAACGGAAUAAUAAUUAUUUGCAUUAAUAAGUAUAAAACUAUACUAUAAUUACUUAGAAUACAUACAGGUUGGUAAGGGAGACGAGGUUGUAUUUUCUCUGUAGGUACAAUGUGAAAUUGUAAGCAGUUACAAAUCAAGGUGCCACUGACAAUAUUAGUUCUUUUAUAAAAUAACGAGUGUGAUAAUUAAAUGAAUUAUAUAAUUAUAAUUAUUUGACUAUUCGGUGUUGUGCUAAUCGCUUGUCUUUUCAAUGUAGUUAUAUUAACUUAACUACAAGACUUAAGAGGGAAGACAUAAGACAAAAUUCUAUUAUACACACUGUAGAAAAUUAUAUUCUAUCUAUUUCAUAGUGUAUCUCAUAGGAUAUCUUAUAGCAUUCCUAAUAAAGUGUAUACAAUUUCCCCAUCAUACGAUCUCAAUGCCCCAAUGGGUUGUGACGUUGAUCCAAGUUUAUGUCGCAGAUUACGAAAAAAAACAUCAAAUGUUCAGAAUUUUGUAUUCUUCAAUAUAAACUUAGAACAACCUCAAUACUAAUUUGCGAAUUAUAAUAAUUAAAAAUUCCUUAAUGUUUAAAAUUCCUUGACAGUUGCCAUUUGCAACUUUAAUUCAAAGAUUAAAUAUUUUAUUCGACGAGUUAAAUAAUUAAAAUCUAUUUAUACUUAACGAAAUAAUUAUUUAUUUAACAAUUAAAUGUUGUAGUGUAAGAUAGUUAUUAUUUCAAUUUUAUUUUACGACAUUUACGAAUUUGCCGUGUUAUCAUUAAAUUAUUAUUGAAAGUCACAGAUUAUACCAUUAUAAAUGUUGUAAUUAUUUA